rnacentral:rRNA from 1 species
CUACGGGUCGCUCCAGUGGGGAAUCUUGGACAAUGGGGGAAACCCUGAUCUAGCCAUGCCGCGUGAGCGACGACGGCCCUAGGGUUGUAAAGCUCUUUCAGCAGGGAAGAUAAUGACGGUACCUGCAGAAGAAGUCCCGGCUAACUCCGUGCCAGCAGCCGCGGUAAUACGGAGGGGACUAGCGUUGUUCGGAAUUACUGGGCGUAAAGCGCGCGUAGGCGGAUUGUUAAGUCGGGGGUGAAAUCCCGGGGCUCAACCCCGGAACUGCCCUCGAUACUGGCAGUCUUGAGUUCGAGAGAGGUGAGUGGAAUUCCGAGUGUAGAGGUGAAAUUCGUAGAUAUUCGGAGGAACACCAGUGGCGAAGGCGGCUCACUGGCUCGAUACUGACGCUGAGGUGCGAAAGCGUGGGGAGCAAACAGGAUUAGAUACCCCCGUAGUC